ACGGGGGGUGCGAGCGUUGUCCGGAAUCACUGGGCGUAAAGGGCGCGUAGGCGGCCCGGUAAGUCAAAGGUGAAAUCCCUCGGCUCAACUGAGGAACUGCCUUUGAAACUGUCGGGCUUGAGGCUGGGAGGGGGUAGCGGAAUUCCCAGUGUAGCGGUGAAAUGCGUAGAUAUUGGGAGGAACACCAGUGGCGAAGGCGGCUACCUGGACCGGUUCUGACGCUGAUGCGCGAAAGCGUGGGUAGCAAACAGGA
rnacentral:rRNA from 1 species